AUUUUUGUAAAACUAUUUCUAAGAAAAAAUAAGGGGGAACGUUGUGAGACGCGGCAAAGACCGCGGUUCUACUUUAUGUCCGGUAGUCAGGCAAUAUGGCUCCUCUCCGAUAGAUGGCGCACACUGCGCAUUGAGAGUGAGAGACAGCGUUCCCAAUUUAGCUUAUUUAAGGCUAGAUCUAGCUUAUUUGAAAGCGGAACAGCUUGAAAAAUUAUGAAAAUGCUUAUAGCUUUAAAUCUAGCCUUUUUUAAUUUCACUUUGCUUAUCUUUUCCUUUUUAUAUCCUACAUGUAUUUUUUGGUAUUUUUUAAGACAAAUCGAACAAAAAGUAUAUUUGUAGUACAUAUUUUGGUGUAUCAUGGUAUUUUAGAAUUUAUUUAUGGUUUCUUUUCGUUGAAAAGUUUCGGUCUAUACAGAAACUUGGUUGGUGAUCGUGAAAUGUGUAAAUGUGUAAAACAUGCCAAAAACAGGUUACAAACAAAAUUUUCAUCGACAAGCAUCGAUUUCCUCAAAAAUAAAAUAAUACCGCCUGAUGCAAAGAUUGAUGUCUUGAAAGAUGACUUGGAUGAAUUUGCUGUGUCUUCAUAAUAUAUGGGAUAUUUAUUUGAAAAGGAAAUUAAAGAGAAAAAUUAUAAUAAUGAAGUUAACGAAAUCAGAGAGAUGUGCAAGGAUUUUAUAAAGGAGCUAAUUAUCCAACUCAGAGAAAGACUUCCAGAUAAUUUUGAGACAUUAGAAAAACUUAGAAAAUUAGAAAACACAAAAACAUUAGAAAGUUUUUGCAGCAGAAAAUGUACUCAAACAUAAUAAAAAUCAUAAUGAUCUCAUUUCCAUAUUGGAACACUUUAACUAUAAGAAUAUAGAUGGAAUUCUUGCCCAAUAUGGCAAAAUUCAAUUAGUCCCUUGGCAAAGUACAGAUGACACGAUACAAUUUUGGUCAGAAGUACUGACUUAUAAAGAUGCUGGCAAAAACAAGCCUUUUGAAGAAAUCGCUUUAUUUGCCAUUGGCAUUUUAAGUCUACCGUGGUCAAAUGCUGCUAUUGAACGUGUAUUCAGUCAAAUGAAUAUUGUUAAGACCAAGCUAAGGAACAAAAUGACCGUUAAUUCCUUAAACUCAAUAUUAAAUAUAAGAUAUGGAUUGCGCCGUCAUGGAAAAUGUUGUCACAACUAUCAAUUACCGGAGAAAUAUUUAAAUUUAAUACGUUCCAGCGAUAAAUAUACCGAUUCAAGCAAUAGCGAAUUGGAUGAAAUAAUAACACAAUUAUAAAUGUAUAUAUCUAUGUGUUGUUUUAUUUUUAGCCUGUUUUUUACAAUUUUUAGCUUGUUCUAGCUUGUAUUUUUGUAAAAUCUAGCUUAUUUUAGCGCUCAAAAUCUGGCAACACUGGUGAGAGAAUGAGUAAGCGCUUGGCUGGGGUUGCGUAUCACAGGAGACUGGUUACAAAAUUUAGUUUCUAGCUCUUAUAGUCUUUGACAUCUCAUCGGGACGGACAGACAGACAGACUGGCUAUAUCGACUCGUAUGUAUUCAUAUAGAUGCAUGCAUAUUGCCACUCAAAAUAAAUUCGAGUUGAUUAGGAGUUGAUAAUAGUCGUCACAUUGCAUAUAGAUGUAUACUUACACGUCACAAACGUACCCAUUUCCUAAUAAAUGUCACCGAAAAUACAGCAAUAGCUGACGCCACAAAUCAUUGAAGUGUUUCAAUGUACUGUGAUUACAAAUCCCCUUUACAAAAUUUGUAGGCAUUGAUGUGUAUUAUUUUUGUAUUAAACAUAUUGGGGAAUACCCUAGUUAAAAAAGAACACAAAGUUUUUCAAUCUCCAACACUCUUCUAUACGUGUCAGCGCGCUAAGUUAAUUGACUGCUUAUUUUAAGUUAGGUGUUUAUCAGAACUUUUUCCGCGAGAUUGAUUAAGAGCCGUUUUCUCAAUUUCGAACUAAAAUGCCAGUUGGUUGCCUCUCCGAAAAAGUUGACGAACAGAUAAACGUGUCUAAAAAAAACAAUUCGGCUUUCUCGAGGUCGUGGUAAUUUGUGAAAACGAAAAAGAAUAAUGGGUUUAAGCGCACAAAUGUGCUGUACAGCGCAAAACUCAGUAUAACCUUUGCAAGAAAAUGUAGCUAUCGACAAAACGGUACCAGA